CAAUCUUCUCUGAAUUCCUUAUUUAUUAUAUUCACUUUUAAUAAUAAUAUCUCUUAGUGUAUGAACAGUAAUAUUAAAUUUAAGCUCUUGAAGAAUAUCAACAUACGAAGCAAAGGGAUUUUACUGAAUAUCUGAGAGGAUCUUGAAAUGCUCGAAGUAGGCUUUAGUGGUGGAAUCACCACUGAUCAACAACUGAUUUAGAGCUUAAUUAUCCAUGAUGUGAUUAUCCAUAGAAGAGAACAGAUUGAAAAAACACAACAGACUUUCUGCCGAGGUAAUAUAUAGGAAAGCUAAAGAAUAUGUUAGACAAGCAAACAGGACCGUAACAAGAAAAAUAUCCAGCAUCCCCGAUUGUAUGCGGCCUCGGAAGGCGUACCAGUAUAGGGUGGUUCGAUUUAUGCUUUACGUGCGUUAUUGAGAGCUUUGUUCGACCAUGCAGCACCACAGACAGAUAUCGGAGUCACUUUAUCCGGAUGGGGAGAGCCUAAUUGCUUAUGAAGA
rnacentral:sRNA from 1 species